AUGGACGGGAGGCUUGACCUGGUCAGAACAGUGCUCUCGGCCAUGCCGAUCUUCCAGAUGAUUGCAUUGGUCUUGCCAACUUGGCUUGCAAAGCUGAUCGACAAGGUACGGCGUGGAUUUCUCUAGGAGGGCAGCGAGGUGGUAUCUGGCGGGAAGUGUCUUAUCAGCUGGAAGACUGUCUGUAGGCCGAAGGAGCUCGGCGGGCUCGGCAUCACUAACGUGAUGGCUCAUGGCAGGGCUCUACGGAUGCGAUGGUUAUGGCAGUCCUGGACCGACAACAACAAGGCUUGGGCUGGACUAGAGCUC
rnacentral:rRNA from 1 species